CGCGCUCCGCCGCCUCGGGCUGGAACACCUCCAGGUCCUCUCUCUCGAGCUCCGCCUCCAGCAUCAGAUGGGUGCUCCUGCGGUCCGUCUGUAGGAACUCUGUGAACUCGGUCAGGCC
rnacentral:SRP_RNA from 13 species